UAUUGCAACCUGAACUCAGGCGUGAUUACCCGCUGAACUUAAGCAUAUCAUUUAGCGGAGGAAAAGAAACUAACAAGGAUUCCCCUAGUAACGGCGAGUGAACGGGGAGAAGCCCAGCGCUGAAUCUUUCGGUGUUACACCGUUAAGAAAUGUAGCGUAUAGGUGUGGUUUUCAGUUUGUGCUACUUAUCCAAAGUCCCUUUGAUAGGGCCACAUUCCCGAGAGGGUGCGAGACCUGUGCGGAUAGUGGAGCAAGCUGUACGAUCAUACCUUGGAGUCGGGUUGCUUGAAAGUGCAGCCUAAAGUGGGUGAUAAACUUCAUCUAAGGCUAAAUAUAGACGCGAAUUCGAUAGCAAACAAGUACUGUGAAGGAAAGUUGCAAAGAACUUUGAAGAGAGUUCAAGAGAACGUGAAAUCGCUGGAGUGGAAACGGAGAGUUGACGUAGUCCGGUGACUAAGUUUGCCGAAAUCGCUUAAUUGUGAUUAAGGUGAAUGUAUGUUGCCUAUGGCUGCGCUGACAGCACUGGUUGUACGUUCCGAACCGUUUUCGUUGCCCAAUUUUCGAAUUGGUGUCUUGUUUACGGGUAGGUUUGUUAUGACUAGUGUUUUAUCCUGUUUUAUGCAGGGUGUCAGUGUGAAGGUCGACCACCUCUCCGACCCGUCUUGAAACACGGACCGAGGAGUGUAACUUGUACGCGAGUCAAAGGGUGGAAAACCCCAAGGCGCAAUGAAAGUAAAGGUCGGUUAACCGACUGACAUGGGAUCCGUUUCGUUUUGAAGCGGCGCACCAUGGCCCUGUCUUGUCUGCUUGCAGAUGGGCAGCGGUAGAGCGUACAGGUUGCGACCCGAAAGAUGGUGAACUAUGCCUGAGCAGGACGAAGUCAGAGGAAACUCUGGUGGAAGUCCGUAUCGGUUCUGACGUGCAAAUCGAUCGAUAGACUUGGGUAUAGGGGCGAAAGACUAAUCGAACCAUCUAGUAGCUGGUUCCCUCCGAAGUUUCCCCCAGGAUAGCUGGAGUUCAUUGCGGUUAUAUCCGGUAAAGCGAAUGAUUAGAGGACUUGGGGUCGAAACGACCUCAACCUAUUCUCAAACUUUCAAUGGGUAUGUUGUCUCGGUUUCUUUGUUGAACUGUUGACACGAACGCGAACUCCAAGUGGGCCAUUUUGGUAAGCAGAACUGGCGCUGUGGGAUGAACCAAACGUUGGGUUAAGGUGCCUAACUUUUCGCUCAUGAGACCCCAUAAAGGCGUUGGUUGAUAUACAGCAGGACGGUGGCCCGGAGCGGUACCCAGAAGUGUACCCACCUGGAAUGGCAACUAGCCUGAAAAUGGUUGCGCCUGUUUGCUGGCUUGUGUUGCGCCUGGCUGCAGUAGAGUGUGUGGGUUUCAAGGUUUUGUCCUUGAGCUUCUCGAAGUUCUCUGUAGUGAAGACAGUUCGAUCCUAAGACCUGUCAUCGGUGGGGUCUCUUUUCGGAGAAAGAGUGGGUUCUGUCACUGUGCCUAAAUAUGGUCCUUGGUAACGCUUCUUGGUUCGUACUCAGAGACCGAGCUGGUUCGAGUAGUGGACGUUCCGCGUUAGUCUCAGAUAGUGACGUUCUCUUCUCUGUUAAAGAAUCGCGGUUGGGACGUUGUUUCCGGCCCUCUGUAAAUCGUGUGGACAGGCUAAGUGAGAAUAGGGGUCAAGUUGAGUCGAAGAUUAGGUCCGAACAGAAAAGAGAAUAUAAACUCGUCAGCUAACCUUGGAAGGACAAUUGCUCGCGUGAGUGAAGCAGACUAACUGAGCGGAUUCCCCUAGAAUGACAUGACAGCAGUGGUACUUGGAGAGUGCCUUUGCGGAGUUGACUAGCUGAACCUCGAAAGAUUCUGGUUAAUUCCUGGAAGUUGGUGGACGCAACUUCGCCGUAAGACCCGCUAAAGGCUACCAAAGCCGAAUGGGCAGUAUGGGGAAGGAGU
rnacentral:rRNA from 1 species